rnacentral:rRNA from 1 species
GACGAACGCUGGCGGCGUGCUUAACACAUGCAAGUCGAACGAUGAAGUUCCUUCGGGAAUGGAUUAGUGGCGAACGGGUGAGGAACACGUGAGAAACCUGCCUUUCAUUUUGGGAUAACUCCGGGAAACCGGGGCUAAAACCGAAUACUCCGUCUCGGCGGCAUCGCUGAGCCGGGAAAAAAUUUUGAUGAAAGAUGGUCUCGCGGCCUAUCAGCUAGUUGGUGAGGUAAUGGCUCACCAAGGCAACGACGGGUAGCCGGCCUGCGAGGGCGACCGGCCACACUGGGACUGAGACACGGCCCAGACUCCUACGGGAGGCAGCAGUGGGGAAUAUUGGGCAAUGGGCGCAAGCCUGACCCAGCGACGCCGCGUGAGGGAUGAAGGCCUUCGGGUUGUAAACCUCUUUCAGUAGGGAAGAAGCGAAAGUGACGGUACCUAAAGAAGAAGCACCGGCCAACUACGUGCCAGCCGCCGCCGUAA